rfam:Capsicum annuum cultivar Zunla-1 chromosome 3, whole genome shotgun sequence
UGCAAUCAAUAAUAAUUUUUUUCCAUAACUGCUGAUUGAACGUGAUUAAUACAAAAAUAUCACCAUCUUUCGGCUGAGAUUGCA